GGUGAAAGGCUCAUUACAACAGCCAUAAUCUACUUGAUGUUGAUCUUCCACGUGGAUAACUGUGGUAAUUCUAGAGCUAAUACAUGCACCAAGGCUCUGAUUUUAUGCCGAGCGCAUCUAUUAGACCUACUACCAAACGGGAUUAUUCGCGCAUUCGUGCUCGAGCUUCUCGUAAUUUUGGUGACUGCAGAUAGCUUAGCUGAUCGCAUGGUCAAGUACCGGCGACUUAUCUAUCAAGUGUCUGCCUUAUCAACUUUCGAUGGUAGUUUAUAUAGACACCAUGGCUGUAACGGGUAACGGAGAAUAAGGGUUCGACUCCGGAGAGGGAGCCUGAGAAACGGUUACCACAUCCAAGGAAGGCAGCAGGCGCGCAAAUUACCCACUCUCAGCCCCCCCAGGUAGUGACGAAAAAUAACGAGACCGUUCUCUUCGAGGCCGUUUAUCGGAAUGAGUACAACUUAAAGCCGUUAACAACGAUCUAUGAGAGGGCAAGUCUGGUGCCAGCCGCCGCAGUAAUUCCAGCUCUCUAAGUGUAUAUCGCCAUUGCUACGGUUAAAAAGCUCGUAGUUGGAUUAUAGCUCGAUGACUUGGUCCGUCCAUGGGAUGAGAACUGAGCUCAUCGUCUAAUAUUGCUGGUUAUGUUUAGGUGACCUUAACCGGUCGCCUAGACUGGCAAGCGCCCUUACUUUGAAAAUGGGAGAGUGCUCAACGCGUGCUUAAUGCCUGAAUAGUCGUGUAUGGAAUAAUUGAAUAGGAUCUCGGUUCUAGAUUGUUGGUUUUCUGAUCCGAGAUAAAAGUUAAGAGGGACAGACGGGGGCAUUCGUAUCGCUGCGUGAGAGGUGAAAUUCUUGGACCGUAGCGAGACGCCCGACUGCGAAAGCAUUCUCCAUGAAUGUCUUCAUUAAUCAAGAACGAAAGUCAGAGGUUCGAAGGCGAUCAGAUACCGCCCUAGUACUGACCGUAGACGAUACCAACUAUUUUUUCCGCCGGCGCUAAAUACGCAUUGGCGGGCCGCUUCCCGGAAACGAAAGUGUUUCGGUUCCGGGGGAAGUAUGGUUACAAAGCUGUAACUAAAUAAAAUUGACGGAAGGGCACCACCCAGGAGUGGAGGGGGCGUAUUAAUUUGACUCAACACGGGAAAUAUAACCUGGCUCGGACACUGUGAGGAUUGACAGAUUGAGAGCUCUUUCUUGAUUCGGUGGGAGGUGGUGCAUCGCCGUUCUUAGUUGGAUGCGUAAUUUGUCUGGUUUAUUCCGAUAACGAGCAAGGCUCUAGCCUAUUAAAUAGUCAACGAAUAAAUCAGUUCGUGUCGACUUCUUAGAGGGACAAGCGGUGUUCAGCCGCAUGAAGAAAAGCAAUACCAGGUCUGUGAUGCCCUUAGAUGUCCAGGGCUGCACUAUGUGCUACACUGGAGGAAUCAGCGUGCCGUAUCCAUUGCCGAAAGGCAUUGGUAACCCCUUGAGAUACCUCCGUGCUCGGGAUAGAGAAUUGAAAUUAUUUCCCUUGAACGAGGAAUUCCUAGUAAGUGUGAGUCAUCAGCUCACGUUGAUUACGUCUCUGCCCUUUGUACACACCGCCCAAAACUGCCCGGGACUGAGCCGUUUCGUGAUACGCGGGGACCGACGACAUGAAGCGUCGGACCUCGUGUUUGGUGGAUUGUUCGCGUGGAAUCCGCCU
rnacentral:rRNA from 1 species